rnacentral:rRNA from 1 species
UGCCUAUACCCGGCCGCCGGAAGGCAUAGGCGUGAGCCGCUCUUCUGGGGCGGCGAGCGCGCGAAGCCCCGGCGAGUAGGAGGGCGCGGCGGUGUGCGCGGAAGGGUCUGGGCGUGAGCCUGCCUGGAGCCGCCGCCGGUGCAGAUCUUGGUGGUAGUAGCAAAUACUCAAGCGAGGGCCUUGAGGGCUGAUGUGGAGAAGGGUUUCGUGUGAACAGCCGUUGCACACGAGUCAGUCGAUCCUAAGCCCUAGGAGAAAUCCGAUGUCGAUGCGGGGGGCCGUUUCAUUCGAGCUCCCCCUCGAUGGGCGAAAGGGAAUCCGGUUCCUAUUCCGGAACCCGGCAGCGGAACCGAAUCUACGGGCCCUCGUCAGAGAAGCUCGUCGGGGUAACCCAAAGGGACCCGGAGACGCCGUCGGGAGACCCGGGCAGAGUUUUCUGUUCUGCAUAAGCGUUCGAGUUCCCUGGAAUCCUCUAGCAGGGAGAUAGGGUUUGGAACGCGAAGAGCACCGCAGUUGCGGCGGUGUCCGGGUCGUCCCCUCGGACCUUGAAAAUCCGGGAGAGGGUCACGCGGAGGUGUCGCGCCGGCUCGUACCC